GCCUUUAUAGGUAAAAAGGCGUAAAGGGUGUGUAGGCCGACAAUUCCCCCCCAAGGUGGUAAAUGGAAUUUUUCUGUAACGGUAGAAUGUGUGGAUAGAAAAUAGAACCCCAAAGGCAAAAGCAAUUUACCUCGGGGAAGGGGGGUGAAAAUCUGAUAUUCCCGAUCGGGACCUAUCACUCCACCCCCCCGAGCACAGGCUGAAACACGAGGGUGUGGGUAACAAACAGGAUUAGAGACCCUGGUAGUCCACACUGUAAACGAUGAAGAAAAUGUUAAUGCAACCCCGAAAGGUAGUAAUCUUCCGCCUGAGUAGUACGAUCGCAAGAUUAAAAUUCAAAAAAUUUGGCUGUUCACUGUUUCGAUUAGAGGAGCGUGUAGUUUAAUUCGAUAAACCGCGAGAUACCUUACCCAAACUUGAAUCACCCAUCCGAGAUUGAAUGGUCUCGGGAGGGUAGACCGGUAUUGCAUGGCCGUCGUCAGUUCGUGUAUGAAACCUUUAACGGACCUAACCCGGGGGGUUAGCCGCGGAUGAAGUCAGGUCUUAUGAUCCCUAUGUUUGGGGAUAAUAUGCGCUACAUUUUCUUAUACAAUGGGAAACCUGAAAGGUGAAACCCCAAAGUAGGAGUUCGGUAGGUCAUUGUAAGAUGACCGAAAGUUGAAUUUAAUAGUAAUCGGAAAGUAGAGCGUUCCGGUGAAAUGAUCU
rnacentral:rRNA from 1 species